AGUAACACGUGGGUAACCUGCCUCAUAGAGGGGAAUAGCCUUUCGAAAGGAAGAUUAAUACCGCAUAAGAUUGUAGUACCGCAUGGUACAGCAAUUAAAGGAGUAAUCCGCUAUGAGAUGGACCCGCGUCGCAUUAGCUAGUUGGUGAGGUAACGGCUCACCAAGGCGACGAUGCGUAGCCGACCUGAGAGGGUGAUCGGCCACAUUGGGACUGAGACACGGCCCAGACUCCUACGGGAGGCAGCAUG
rnacentral:rRNA from 1 species